AUGGAUCAGGACAGGAACCGCAGACCCGUCAGAACCUGAAGAACCAGAAAUCAGAGACUCUUCAUCCUCAAUCAUCUCCUGAGGCUCAUAUGUUUGGAUAAUCUGACUUCCUAUCGAUGAAUAAAAAACAAGCUAAGCUGAACCUGCAGCCCAGGGCCGGUUCUAGACGGGGGCCAAGCGGGGGUCUCAAGAAAUUAUACUAAAUAAAUUCUAUUAAAUAUU